AAACAAUCUCUGAUGUCAUGUGUUCUUUCUUGUAUGCAUUUCGUAUUCUGUUAACUAAGAGGUAUGCGGAGGGAGGGUCGCACAAGGCUCCCACCCCUCACCCCAGCUGUGGGUGUAGUGGGCAGCUUGUGGAUAGUUCUCAGGGCAGGUCUUAAUGGAGAGACGCAUUCUUGGCAGGGCCUGCAGGGCUUGUUAUGACAGGGUGCAGAAUGGGACUGUGCCAAGGGAAUCGGGCUUCAGGAAAGGGGCCAGGUUUACACUGGUCACAGGUCUCCUUCUAAGGCUACAUGCUCAGCCUCUAAAGUCACCUCCAGAAGCCAGGGGAACUUCCUGAGAGCCCUGGGUGAGGGCCAGCAGACUGCUCCUUUGGGAGAGAGAAUGAACUCUAAGACAGCAAGAACGAUGGUGUGAAACAUUGUCUGACAAUCUAUGAAAACAGUGGUGUGGUUUCUUGGAUAAGUGCAUUUUGAAGUUUCUGGAGGAAAUAAAAACUACAUUUUUUAUUUUAAUGGAACGUCACUUUGGGGUGUAAAGUCAACUGGGCAGCAGAUCCAGCACUCAAGGAAACUGUUCUGCAGCUUGAAAAGGCUCUCACCACAGUCUAACAAGAAUUCCACUGGACCCGGUGUUGCCAUGUGUGCCUUUGAUCUCAGCACUCAGGAGGCUGAAACAAGGGGAUUGCCACUUGCUGAAGACCAGCAAAGAUUUGCACCUUGCAGUUUUUGGAUUUUUGUCUCUGUAUGUCAUUUCAAUAGCAAGUUUCAAGUGAAAUGAAUUUGCGAUGUUUGGGGAACUCUCCUAAUCUGUAAUUGCUUUUUAGCUUCAGUUAACACUCUAACCUAGAAUCGGUCAUUUUAAAUAACAGUAAAGUGACUGUGUACUCUUCAAAGGGGAAUGUCUUAGUCAUGGAAAAGACCCCUGGUCUGAUAUCUGAGGAGUAGGCGCAGUUUUGGACAUUCACAAGGUCCCAGCAUUUAAUUGUAAUACUUGUGUGCAUUUCUGCAUUUGUCAGUCACGAUGCAGAGAAGUCUCCAGAGUGUCAGCAGUUGGUAUAAUUCAUAGUGGGGUUAUGAGUAACUGUCUUCUGUUCUCUCUGUGUCUGUUUCUCCCCUCACACAUACUUCUGUGCACACACAUACAUAAUGCUGGCUACACCCUGGCAAUACUGAUGUACAGUGGCAUCCAUGCCCAUUUUCACUUCUGUUUAGAGACAAGCUCUUGCCAACUUACCAAGGCUGGCUUCAGACUUGGAACCCUCCUGAAUAACUGGGAUUACAAGCAUGUACUGCCAUGUCCAGUACAGCUCUUUAUUAAUUAGAAGCUAUUGAUCAUAUUAAUGGACAGUGUGAGGUUUUCAGUAUUCUUAUUGGAAUAAAGUGAAACUUGAAAAGAUGCACUCAUUGGAUAAUAGCUCAUGAAACCUGUUCUUUAGAUUAAUAACAAAGAGAGAUUUUCCUGAGCUCAAACAGUAGGCUUUUCUUUGAAAUUCUUAUACCUUGUUUUCUUUGAGCAAUCUUAAUGUAUGCAUAGUUUUAUUCUUUUUGUCAGUUACUGUUUUGAGGUAGAGUCUCACUGUGUCCUUCAGGGCAUUCUUGAACUCACUAGUAGCCCAGGCUGUCCUAGAACUUCCUGCAGUCCUCCUGCCUCAGCCUCCUGAGUAGUAAAGUUACAGGCAUGCACCACCACACCUGACCUGUUGUUGUCUAUAUCAAUUGUUAUGAAGCAACUUACUUUUUGCGUGCAAGUUAUUAUUUUGGAAAACGGUUUUCUGUUCCAGUACCACACAGGAACUGUUUGUUUGUUGUAGUACUGGGCAUUGAACCCAGAGCCAUUGUGCUAAGCUCUCUUCAGCCAUUUUUUUUUAAAUUUGUUGUUUUGAGAUAGGAUCUCAUCAAGUUGCUGAGUUGCCCAGGCUGGGCUGAAACUUGAUCCUCCUGCCUCAGCCCCUAGAAAACUGGCAUUCCAGCAGUGCACUACCACAGUCACUUGACACUGUUUAGUAAAUUUCAACCUGUGGACCACCUGAAAAAGUGUAUCUUCAUAUACUAAAACAGGUAUAUGUUUAUCUGGGACCUUAGUGGUCUUUGACUUACCUGUUACCCAGCUCUGAGAGAGGAAGUGCGUAGGCUUUGCCUGAACUGUUGCUGAAUACGGAACUCACAGCUCACUGUUUUAGGACAUUUACUUCUGUGUGGGUUUGGGGUUCAAGCGCCCACUCUAGGACUCCAUUUGAGGGAGCAGCCACUCUGCAGAAGGCAGGGGCUCCUUAGAUCAAGUCAAGUGCAUUUCACAAGCAGAAUGUAAUCCUCUGCUUGGGGAAGGCAGCCAUAGUCCCAACCCCACAUCACAGAGGCCUUGGCUUUUCUCCAAGCAAGUGAAUGCUGCAUUUCAGAGUCAGGAAAAGGAAAUGGGAAUUUGCUACAAAUGACACGAUCGACCUUAUUCAGCUUUGCUCCAUAAAUAGACACCAAGACUAGGGAGGUGCCAGCAGUCCUAGUGACUUGGGAAGCUAGGGCAGGACUGCUUCAGCCAUGGAGGUCAAAUCCAGCCUGGGAAAUACUGGAGACCUAAUGUCUGGCUUAUAACCACAUCCACAAAAAGACACCCCUCUCCAGGAAGUAAGCCAACAGCACAGCCUCUCCUGGUGUUAUUUCAAGCUUCAAGAAAGCUCUCUCUCUCCUCUCUCUCUCUGUCUGUCUGUCUGUCUGUCUGACUCACUCUUUCUCUCUCUCUGUUUCUCUCCCCUGUGUCUCUGUCUCUCUGUCUCUGUGUCUCUCUCUGUCUCUGUCUCUGUCUCUCUCUCUCUCCCCCUCCCUAAUCCCGUUGCAGGCGGUCUCCUUAUGUAACUGGCCUAGAACUCACAGGGAUCCUCAUGCCUCCGCCUCCCAAGUGCUGGAGUUACAGGUGUGCUUUACCACACAGAUUGUCUUGUUCUUCAAUUGUUCUUCGCUUCAGUAUCAGGGACUGAUAACCUGGCUCAUAGGCUGUUUUAGUAUAUGAAGUUUUACCACAACAAUGCCAUGCCAGUAUGUUCACAUGUUAACUCGGCUUGCUUUCUUGCUAUGAUAAAAUAGUGUAACCUAAUGAAGUAACUGUAAUAGUGACCCAAAGGUGGCUGCAAUAUGCUUUUCCAUAGGAUAAGGUGUUGUGAAAAACAGGUUACCAGCCCUGUGGGAGCUGGCUUAUGUUUGAGGGACAGCAAAGAAAUACCAGCAUGGCCCUCUCUCAAGGGCUCAGGGCUUUGCAUGGGAAUUGAAGAGAGGAUUGUCGCUACCUUUAGUCAGGGUUGCUUUGCGAAUAGUGACCUCCAUGCUGUUGUGCCCACGUGUGUUUUUCUGCUCCUUUUCCUGUCAUAAGGCCUCACAAACCUUGGUGGUACAUGGGGUGGCAGUUCUGCCUCCCUCAUUUUUGCCUUGACACGUGCCCAGGCAUCCUGGGGCUGGACCUAGUAAUCCUCAGGUUUUCCUUCACAAUGGAUUGAAAAAAUCUAAUUGUGCUAUAGAAAGUUUAUUUUGAAUUACCUGAAUUAUUCUUAAUUGUUUAUGUGAUUCGUUUCACUACUGAAUUACUACACCCUACAUGUUAGAUCCAAACAUUUUAUUAAAAUAUUUUUUAUCAAGAGACCUCAGCCUGGACUAGGUACCUCCUGUCGCAUCACCCACUGUGCUCUGGCCUGACUUCCAGCCAGCAUUGGGGAUGGAGUCACUGGCCGAGCAGAGGAAGGGCGAGGACAAGGAAGGUGGUGACACUCCGGGCACACAGGCCGAAGGUGGGCAUAGGAGUGGAACAGGCAGGUGCAUGCACUAGGUCCUAGUCAGUCCUGGUGUGCACCCUGCCACCCAGGGAUCAGUGGGUACGGAUGGCGCAUCCCAUGCCUUGUAAGCAGACACAGUGAAGAUGAGGACGGACAGACUGAGCACUAAUGGUGAAUCAUUGAGUGACCUGGUAGCAGUCUCUGGGCAGACUCUACCUGUGGGAAGUGAAGAUAGAAUUCCUGCUUUUGCUUCAGAAGCAUUUACCAUCCUCAUCCUGUGGAAAAGUCAUCUGCAAGGAGCCUGCAUUGGGAAUUCCGUGAAGUAGAAUCAGUGCCAGCGCUCUCCUGGCAGGGUCCCUGAAAUGGUCCAUUCGGAUGUGAUUGGGACUGUGUUUCACUGAACACUCUCUUAUGCCUCCUGUGUGACUGUGUUUUGCUUAGUUUAUAUUUUUAUUGGUAUGUGAUCACAGUACAUAAUGAUUCUAUUCAUCAGAGGCAGUUGGUGGAUAUGCAUGAUAGAUUUUUCCUCGAUGUGGUAGAAAAACAAGAGUAAAGAAAGACAAAAACAAAAAGGCCUUUAUUGCUGGCAUGGGAGGGCUGCAGAGGGGUGCAAGAUCCCUUCAGGGCAGACAAAGAAACCUGGAGCUUUUAUUCAGUUUGAGAGGGGUGGAGUUCGAUGGGGUGGGCAGAGUGACAUUUUGACAGUUACUUGAGGGAUUGUUGAUGUGUGCACAGCAAGUGGGAAGUUCACUUUUUGGGUUUGCAAGAAGAAUGUGGAAGUCAGUUUUGAAGUGAGGUACGGUCCAGUGCCAUGCUGGGCAGGCAGCAUGCUGAGCCUGGCAGUGCUCCACAGAGCGGGAUCCAUUAUUCCCAUCUUUUGGGUGUUAGAGGCAGCCACUCUUUAACUGCUUCCUGCUGACUGAGGUGACAUG